AGAGUUUGAUCAUGGCUCAGGACGAACGCUGGCGGCGUGCCUAACACAUGCAAGUUGAGCGGCGAACCAGGGCUUGCCCUGGGGCAAAGCAGCGAACGGGUGAGUAACACGUGGGUAACCUGCCCCGAAGACCGGGACAACCCGAGGAGACUCGGGCUAAUACCGGAGGUGGUCUCCGGACACCAGUCCGGCGAGCAAAGGAAGCUUCGGCCUCCGCUUCGGGAGGGGCCCGCGGCCCAUUAGCUUGUUGGUGAGGUAACGGCUCACCAAGGCUGCGAUGGGUAGCUGGUCUGAGAGGACGAUCAGCCACACUGGGACUGAGACACGGCCCAGACUCCUACGGGAGGCAGCAGUGGGGAAUCUUGCGCAAUGCGCGAAAGCGUGACGCAGCAACGCCGCGUGGGGGAAGAAGGCCUUCGGGUUGUAAACCCCUUUCAGGAGGGACGAAGGUUCGGCGGUGAACAGCCGUCCGGACUGACGGUACCUCCACAAGAAGCCCCGGCUAACUACGUGCCAGCAGCGGCGGUAAUUC
rnacentral:rRNA from 1 species